rnacentral:rRNA from 1 species
AUUGAACGCUGGCGGCAGGCCUAACACAUGCAAGUCGAACGAGUGGCGGACGGGUGAGUAAUGUCUGGGAAACUGCCUGAUGGAGGGGGAUCACUACUGGAAACGGUAGCUAAUACCGCAUACCAUCGGAUGUGCCCAGUGGGGAUUAGCUAGUAGGUGGGGUAAAGGCUCACCUAGGCGACGAUCCCUAGCCGGGCGGAGAGGAUGACCAGCCACCCUGGAACUGAGACCGGGUCCAGACUCCUGCGGGAGGCAGCAGUUGUGAAUAUUGCGCAAUGGGCGCAAGCCUGAUGCAGCCAGGCCGAGUGUAUGAAGAAGGCCUUCGGGUUGUAAAGUACUUUCAGCGGGGAGGCGUUACCCGCAGAAGAAGCACCGGCUAACUCCGUGCCAGCAGCCGCGGUAAUUC